ACGGUGGCCUAGUGGUUAGAGAGUCCACCUCGCAUGCGGGAGGUCGCGGAUUUGAACCCCGACAGAAAUA